rnacentral:rRNA from 3 species
GGACUACAGGGGUUUCUAAUCCCGUUUGCUCCCCUGGCUUUCGCGCCUCAGCGUCAGAAGAGGUCCAGUCGAGCGCUUUCGCCACCGGCGUUCCUUCCGAUAUCUACGCAUUUCACCGCUCCACCGGAAGUUCCCUCGACCCCUACCUCCCUCAAGACUCCCAGUAUCGGCGGCACUUCUACGGUUGAGCCGCAAGAUUUCACCACCGACUUGAGAACCCGCCUACGCGCCCUUUAAGCCCAGUGAUUCCGAACAACGUUUGCACGGUUCGUCUUACCGCGGCUGCUGGCAC